rnacentral:rRNA from 1 species
CAUGUCUUUUCGUUAAUAAUUUAAAGUCUAAUCUGCUCCAUGAAAAAAUUUUAAAUAGCUGCAGAAUACUAACUGUACUAAGGUAGCAUAAUCAAUAGUUUUUUAAUUAAAAGCUGGUAUGAAUGAUUUGAUAAAGUAAAUAUUGUCUCAAAUUUAAUAUUAUUAAAAUUUUUUUAUUUUGUAAAAAUACAAAUUUAAAUUUAAAAGACGAGAAGACCCUAUAGAAUUUAAUUAGUUAUUAUUAUAAAAAUUUAUAUUAUAUAAUAAUUUAUAAUAUUAAAUUAUUUGGUUGGGGAAAUUAUUAAAUUUAAUAAAUUUUAAUUUAUAAAAAACAUUAAUUUAUGUGUGUUUGAUUUUUAUUUAUUAAUUAAUAGAAUAAAUUACCUUAGGGAUAACAGCGUAAUAUUUUUGGAGAGAUCAUAUUAAUAAAAAAGUUUGCGACCUCGAUGUUGAAUUAAGAUUUAAUAUUAAUGAAGAAGUUAAUAAUUUUUGGUCUGUUCGACCAUUAAAAUCUUACGUGAUCUGAGUUCAGACCGG